rnacentral:rRNA from 1 species
UACGUAGGUGGCGAGCGUUAUCCGGAAUUAUUGGGCGUAAAGAGCGCGCAGGUGGUUGAUUAAGUCUGAUGUGAAAGCCCACGGCUUAACCGUGGAGGGUCAUUGGAAACUGGUCGACUUGAGUGCAGAAGAGGGAAGUGGAAUUCCAUGUGUAGCGGUAAAAUGCGUAGAUAUAUGGAGGAACACCAGUGGCGAAGGCGGCUUGCUGGACUGCUACUGACGCUGAGGCACGAAAGCGUGGGGAGCAAAUAGGAUUAGA